GAAACAGGACACAAAAAGGGAUACCAGCUUUUAUUUUUCCCCUUUUCACAAAACGAAGUAGAAGAAGUAAUACAGAAUUAAAAUCACAAAAGUAGGUGGUAGAACAUGUAUACACACAAAAAAUCCAGAUAAGAAGACAGGCUUAUUUACAAUGAGGAAACACAUGUAAAUUAAGGUAGCUUGUAGUAUGAAACAAAAAACUCAAACAUAUGCUACAUGGGUGCCACUGUUGACAGCAAUAUUGAAGGGGAGAAAACAACACUUAUGUAGGGACAGAUAUACCACAAGAUCCAGGUUUUACAGCAUCAGUGCAAUAAAUUCACAGAACUAUAUUACAGCUAGUUAAUCAGAGUUAAAGAAUGUGUUCCCAGAGCUAUUUGCCACUUCACAACCCAAGAGCACUGCUGUAAGGUCUUCCAACUUUCCCAACGGCUUAAAAAACAAAACACCUACCCUUAGUGUAGCUUUCUUUUGAGCUUUGUUUUUGUACUGCAAAAACAGGAUGUGAUCUUUCAAAACGUGCCAGAUGACUAAACAGCUAACACUAUCUAGCGGCAACAAAUGCAGUCUGACUUCCAGACGAUAAAACAAGCCGGACAUUUAAAUUUGCCUUCAGGUUUUCAUAUCCCAGGGAAUGUACAUGUCAGUGUUUUUUUGUGUGUGAGAUUUUCUUUAUUAAUCCUCACCUGAGGAUAUUUUUUCCGUCUACUUUUUAGAGUGGAGGG